AAGACGGGGAUUGGCCAUCGCUUCCGGAACUUGUGAGCUUUGUUUCGGAGCGGGAGCUCUUCCGAGACGCACUGGGGGCCGGAUGAAUCCUGCUUAUCUGCGAAAUGCAGUUAACACAUCAGCUGGACCUAUUUCCCGAAUGCAGGAUUGUCGAUCCAUUUCAGAUACUUGUGGCAGCAAACAAAGCAGUUCACCUCUACAAACUGGGAAAAAUGAAGACAAGAACUCUAUCUACUGAAAUUAUUUUCAACCUUUCCCCAAAUAACAAUAUUUCAGAGGCUUUGAAAAAAUUUGGUAUCUCAGCAAAUGACACUUCAAUUCUAAUUGUUUACAUUGAAGAGGGAGAAAAACAAAUAAAUCAAGAAUACCUAAUAUCUCAAGUAGAAGGUCAUCAGGUUUCUCUGAAAAAUCUUCCUGAAAU
rnacentral:sRNA from 1 species